rnacentral:rRNA from 1 species
AUCGAACGCUGGCGGCAGGCCUAACACAUGCAAGUCGAACGGUAACAGGAAGAAUCUUUCUUCUUUGCUGAUGAGUGGCGGACGGGUGAGUAAUGUCUGGGAAACUGCCUGAUGGAGGGUGAUAACUACUGGAAACGGUAGCUAACACCUCAUAACGUCUCAUGCAUAAAAAGGGGGACAUUGGUGCCUCUUGCCAUCGGAUAUGCGCAGAUGCGAUGAGCUAGUAGGUGGGGUAACGGCUCACCUAGGCGACGAUCCCUAGCUGGUCUGAGAGGAUGACCAGCCACACUGGAACUGAGACGCGGUCCAGACUCCUAGGGGAGGCAGGAGUGGGAAAUAUUGCAAAAUGGGGGAAAGCCUGAUGGAGCCAUGGCGCGUGUAUGAAGAAGGCCUGCGUGGUGUAAAGUACUUUCAGCGGGGAGAAAGGGAGUAAAGUUAAUACCUCUGCUCAUGGAGGUAACCCGCAGAAGAAGCACGGGCAAACACCGG